GGCUGGUCCAAGUACCGUGGUAUUUACAACUAAUUGAUUACAACGUUCCAGAUUCCUUUGUUCCUUCUACAUUCCCACUGCUUCAUUUAAUGAUCUAAA
rnacentral:Y_RNA from 1 species